UACGUAGGGUGCGAGCGUUGUCCGGAAUUAUUGGGCGUAAAGAGCUUGUAGGUGGUUUGUCGCGUCUGCUGUGAAAAUCCGAGGCUCAACCUCGGACUUGCAGUGGGUACGGGCAGACUAGAGUGUGGUAGGGGAGACUGGAAUUCCUGGUGUAGCGGUGGAAUGCGCAGAUAUCAGGAGGAACACCGAUGGCGAAGGCAGGUCUCUGGGCCAUUACUGACACUGAGAAGCG
rnacentral:rRNA from 1 species